GAUGAACGCUAGCGGCAGGCUUAACACAUGCAAGUCGAGGGCAGCAUAAUGGAUAGCAAUAUCUAUGGUGGCGACCGGCGCACGGGUGCGUAACGCGUAUGCAACCUACCUUUAACAGGGGGAUAACACUGAGAAAUUGGUACUAAUACCCCAUAAUAUCAUAGAAGGCAUCUUUUAUGGUUGAAAAUUCCGAUGGUUAGAGAUGGGCAUGCGUUGUAUUAGCUAGUUGGUGAGGUAACGGCUCACCAAGGCGACGAUACAUAGGGGGACUGAGAGGUUAACCCCCACACUGGUACUGAGACACGGACCAGACUCCUACGGGAGGCAGCAGUGAGGAAUAUUGGUCAAAUGGACGCAAGUCUGAACCAGCCAUGCCGCGUGCAGGAUGACGGCUCUAUGGGUUGUAAAACUUCUUUUAUACGGGAAUAAAGUGAGGACACGUGUGCCUUUUUGUAUGUACCGUAUGAAUAAGGAUCGGCUAACUCCGUGCCAG
rnacentral:rRNA from 1 species